rnacentral:rRNA from 1 species
AUUGAACGCUGGCGGCAGGCCUAACACAUGCAAGUCGAGCGAGCGGCGGACGGGUGCGUAAUGUAUGGGGAUCUGCCCGCUAGAGGGGGAUAACUACUGGAAACGGUAGCUAAUACCGCAUACCAUCAGAUGUUCCCAGAUGGGCUUAGCUAGUAGGUGGGGUAAUGGCUCACCUAGGCGACGCUCCCUAGCUGGUCUGAGAUGAUGACCAGCAAAACUGGAAUGGAUACACGGUCAGGACUCCUCCGGGAGGCAGCAGUGGGGAAUAUUGCAAAAGGGGCGCAAGCCGGAUGCAGCAAUGCCGCGUGUGUGAAGAAGGCCUUCGGGUUGUAAAGCACUUUCAGCGAGGAGGCGGUACUCGCAGAAGAAGCACCGGCUAACUCCGUGCCAGCAGCCGCGGUAAUUC